rnacentral:tmRNA from 1 species
GGGGGCGACCUGGAUUCGACGGGGGUUGAAGAAACUAUUGGUUGCACGCCGAGGAUGUCGGUUGGCCUCGUUAAUCAGUCCGGCACGCAUUUAAUUGCGGAUAAUUUUCCACAACCUCUCGCGGCUUAGUUCGUGAGACGUCCGCUGGGUCCUUUCCCGAGGGAUUCGGAUGGGCGCAAAUUUUCGGGAUCGGCGACGGGUCUUCCGUCGGUAGACUCGCCGCUUAACUUAAUCCGACUGGUCUUGGCAGGAGCCUGCUCACGGGCGCCGUCGGGACGAGAUUAAUUCGUGAGCUAAGCGUGUAGAGACCUUUGGUGGACCGCUCUC